UUCCAUAUCUUUAUGAUAAUC
rnacentral:piRNA from 1 species